rnacentral:tRNA from 1 species
GCCUCUGUAGCUCAGUUGGUUAGAGCGCUGCACCGGAAUCGCAGGGGCGCAGGUUCAAUUCCUGCCAGGGACC